rnacentral:rRNA from 1 species
UACGGGGGGGGCUGGCGUUGUCCGGAAUCAUUGGGCGUAAAGCGCGUGUAGGCGGUCCGGUAAGUCCGCUGUGAAAGCCAGGGGCUCAACCCUUGGAUGCCGGUGGAUACUGUCGGGCUUGAGUACGGAAGAGGCGAGUGGAAUUCCUGGUGUAGCGGUGAAAUGCGCAGAUAUCAGGAGGAACACCAAUUGCGAAGGCAGCUCGCUGGGACGUUACUGACGCUGAGACGCGAAAGCGUGGGGAGCAAACAGG